CCUACGGGUGGCAGCAGUGGGGAAUAUUGGGCAAUGGGCGCAAGCCUGACCCAGCAACGCCGCGUGAAGGAAGAAGGCUUUCGGGUUGUACACUUCUUUUAAGGGGGAAGAGCAGAAGACGGUACCCCUUGAAUAAGCCACGGCUAACUACGUGCCAGCAGCCGCGGUAAUACGUAGGUGGCAAGCGUUAUCCGGAUUUAUUGGGUUUAAAGGGUGCGCAGGCGGAAGAUCAAGUCAGCGGUAAAAUUGAGAGGCUCAACCUCUUCGAGCCGUUGAAACUGGUUUUCUUGAGUGAGCGAGAAGUAUGCGGAAUGCGUGGUGUAGCGGUGAAAUGCAUAGAUAUCACGCAGAACUCCGAUUGCGAAGGCAGCAUACCGGCGCUCAACUGACGCUCAUGCACGAAAGUGUGGGUAUCGAACAGGAUUAGAGACCCGUGUAGUC
rnacentral:rRNA from 1 species